ACUGCCCUGCCUGGAACGACAGUGGCUAUGCUUCUCUGACCCGGUAAGAUCGACAUUAAGGGAGCUCAGCGUCCGCUCGCAAACCAUAGGUCCUUAACAGGAACUGGAAACCGAUCGGCAGGGCACCCACCUCGAACAACGAGGCGUCAGAGCUGGUUUCACAUCGUCCAGGUGGGGUAUUU
rnacentral:other from 2 species